UGCACACGUAUGCAUGUAUAUGCAUAGUUACAUGCCACACACACACACACACACACACACACACACGAACAUAUCAAUCAUUGUAAGUAAGGUUUGGGGCUAGAGACAGCUCAGCAAUAGAGUUAUUUCCCUGGUAUGCUCAGGCCCUGACUUUGUGCCCAGCACGUCACAAUCUUAGUUCAUUGCUGAGAUUACAGCAAGGGCCAUUGGAAGAAGAAUGUGGAUGCAAACUCCAGUCCUGCUUCCUAUCAGCUGUUAGAAGGUGCCCAGAUUUCCCUGGAGGCUAAAGCAGGGUCUGAACACAUUGGCUAGGCUGUUCUUCAGCCCAGUCAAAUCUAGGCAAGCCUCCCACUUAUGACCUCCCUGUUUCCGUCUCCCAAGGAGUGGGGAUUACAGGCUUUGGGCCCAGACCAGAUGAGUAUUAUUCAUUUGUUUAUCUAUCUACCUCUUGAGUCUGGGUCUUACCAUGGUCUUGCCAAGGUUGAC
rnacentral:lncRNA from 1 species